rnacentral:miRNA from 1 species
UAUCUCAUGUGAGCUCUUCUUU